GUUGCAUGAUCCUGCUGCUGUGGGGGAGUAGCCAAUUCACUGCAUAGCGGCACAUCUCAGCGGUAACAUCUGAUUCCAACAAGUCUUUGAAAAGCUGCGUUUGAUUUAACCCUCAUAGCGGACAGGAGACGUGUCGACGGGGAAAGUAGUAUUCGCAUGACAUUCAGAACGCUGGAAGACAAACCUCGAAUAUGAAGAAUUCUGUCUGGAGCGCUUGUUAACGGCACAUAACUGAGCAUUUGCAAGUGCUGAACCUCUUUGCUGAGUUAACCCCUCCCCCUGCCUGAGCGACCGGAGCUGCAGCCUCAUCAGGUUUACCCGUUCUGUCUGCCUGUCUCAACUCUCGUAAGGCUGGCCCCCCAACCCACCAUGUCUACGGAAGUGGCGAGCAAUACACCUGUCGUCCCAGCCGACCCCUCCAGCACUCCCUCCCCCACAACAAGCAUCCCCACCACCCCUUCCGCAGCACCAGCCAAGACCCCCUUCAAGAAAGAGAAGAAGAAAGCUCCAGAGAAGACUGAUGAGUACCUGCUGUCCCGGUUCCAGGGUGAUGGUGUGAGGUACAGGGCCAAGCUGAUUGGCAUCGAUGAUGUCCCAGAGGCCCGAGGGGACAAGAUGAGCCAGGACUCCAUGAUGAAACUCAAGGGCUUGGCAAUAGCCUCUCGGUCACAGGGCAAACACAAGCAGAGGAUCUGGGUCAACAUAUCCAUGUCGGGCAUCAAGAUCAUUGAUGAGAAAACAGGGGUAAUAGAACAUGAGCACAUGGUGAAUAAGAUCUCGUUCAUCGCCAGAGACGUAACAGAUAACAGGGCCUUUGGUUACGUGUGUGGGGCCGAGGGACAGCACCAGUUUUUCGCCAUAAAGACUGGCCAGCAGGCAGAGCCCCUGGUCAUUGACUUGAAGGAUCUGUUCCAGGUCAUCUUCAACAUGAAGAAAGAGUCUGAGGCCUCACAGAAGGAUCAGCGCAAUAACGCAACAGUUGAGAAUGGUGGCAACACCUUGCUCAGUAUCGAUGGCCAGGCAGGCACUGCCAAAGAGGUGCAACAGCUGGAUCUGUUUGGAGACAUGUCCACACCGCCAGACAUCCAUUCUCCUACAGAGACUAAUGAUAUUCUAUUGCUGGAUCUGUCCGCUGAGGUUGACAGCAAUCAGAACGGUAUAAAAGGAAAUCCCUUCACUUCCUACGCCUCUAACCUUUGGGGCACCCCCCAAACAGAGAACCCCUUCUCCUCCGCGUUUGGCUUCUUUCCAACCCCAGACUCUGACCCUUUCAGCGACGACCCCCUUGCCAAAUCAGCACCCCCCAAUUCUCAGAUCUCAGCACCCUCCACCAAUCACAGCCAAGAGAGCUCUGUUCACAUCUUGGGCAGGCCAGUCAUGAAUGGCAAUGGUCUUAAUGGAGACUCUGACCACUCCGGUCAGCAGUUGAACGGGUUGUCCAAUAAGAACAUGAUCCUGCCUCUCAGUAAUUGCCAGUGGCCACUCGGUGGCGGUAUGUCAGAGUGCAGGGUCCCUGUUCUAAUCCAGAAUGGUUUGGGACCUGUGGCCUCUCCACAGAACCCCUUUCUCGGCAUAUCUGGGGAAAUCCCGCCCCUCUGUAAUGGUGUGCUGUUCGAUCCAAAAGAAAACACACCCAUGGGUCAUGGCAAGGACAGUUCGGUAGUGAUAAGCCUCCCUCCACAGAACACUAAGGCUGGACGAGGUCGGAGGAGUGCCAAGUGUCCUCCUGCUGACGACCUGUUUGGGGCUGACAUGUUUGCUGCUCCCAGUCAGCCUUACAGCUCGUCUGCCUCCAAUGACCUCUUCAGUCCCACCACCACCUCCAUGGCAGCUCUCGGAGCGUUGCAGUUGGGUCCCCCUUCAGUCACCAUCCCUCGGACCGCCCCAUCACCAUGGGGAGCCCCAGCCUCUUCCAUGUUCACCAUGCCAGGAGGGGUAACACUCCCCAACCCCCAGCCCACCUUCCCCCAGCCAUCUGCCUUCAGUGCCCUGCCCAUACCUCCAGCCCCCUGGGGCCAGCAGGCGCCAUCCCCUUAUGGGGCCCCGCCAGUCAGCCAGGCUUGGGGACAGCCUGCACCUGCAGGGCCCAUGGGUGCACCAGGCUGGGGCCAGCCUCCUAUGGCUAACCUCUUCCAGCCCGAGCCUUACACCAUGAUGGGAGGCCCUCCACAGGGUAUGCCGCAGGGUCCACCACGGCCCCCACCCCGGCCACCAGUAAAGGAGGCCCCAGCUAAGGUGGAACCCAGUGCCUUCACAGCUCUGGACCCACUGGGAGGGGAGAAGGAGAAGAAGAGUGGGAAGGACAUGUUCAAGGACUUCCAGAUUGCCAAGCCUCCAGCCAUCCCAGCAAGGAAAGGGGAGCAGAUACCCGGGUCUGCUGCCCCAAGCACCAAUGGGGAUGGGGUGUUUGCCCAGUACUUCUCCAGCAAAGUGGGCGUGCCCCAGGAAAUUGCGGAUCAUGACGACUUUGAAAUUCAGAGUCGGAUUUCAGCUAUUGCCAAUGACCCACCCAAACCAGCCCCACUGCACUCUGCACCCAUGAUAUCUCUUGCAGUGGUCCCUGGGCCAGGGCUCCUGGAUGCAUUUGCCCCUACUCCAGCCACAUUCCUUGCUCCAGCAGCAGCAGGUCUCAACCAGAACCUAUUUGAUGACGUAUUUGGCUCUGCUACUCCUAAUGCCUUUGGAGCACCACUUCUAGCUACGUUCUCAUUGGAAUGUGAUUCAAAACGAGGCAACGGUGUGCUUUAGGACCAUUCAUCGGACCACAGGUUGCUCGGAUCCCUUCGGAGACCCCUUUGCCUGAGUGACACCCUGCCCAUCUUCCACAUUCAGGUUUGCAGUGGUCCAGAGAAGAAGCAGCGAUGCUCUAUGACCAAAUGUCUUCAGAACCAGCUACUACAAGCGCCAGACAAUCCUACACAAUUACAACUUCUAACCCCUUGCCCACACUGAAUAACUGCCUUGAUGUCCAUUACAUAGCCCCUCGUUUACCCCCCCAAAAUGCCUUGUUGUGUUUCGGUUCCAAUCUCAUAGCUUUUUAGUACCACUGAAUGAAAUGUAUUGUAAUAAAGUGACAUAAUGUGUGAUGGAAGGGAAGGCCCUGGAAAUGCUCUAUUAAACACUGAAUAAUGUA